GACGAACGCUGGCGGCGUGCCUAAUACAUGCAAGUCGAACGCAGUGGGGACGGGCGAGUAACACGUGGGUAACCUCCCAUCAGAGGGGAUAACACUUGGAAACAGGUGCUAAACCGAUACUGAUGGAUGCACCCGCGGUGCUAUAGCUAGUUGGUGAGGUAACGGGUCCCCAAGGCCACGAUGCGUAGGCGACCGGAAAGUGUGAUCGACCACACUGGGACUGAGACACGGCCCAGACGCCGACGAGAGGCAGCAGUAGGAAAUCUUCGGCAAUGGACGAAAGUCAUACCGAGCAACGCCGCGUGAGUGAGGAAGGUUUUCGGAUCGUAAAACUCUGUUGUUAGAGAAGCGGUGUCUAACAAGAAUGCCACGGCUAACUACGUGCCAGCGGCCGCGGUGAUUC
rnacentral:rRNA from 1 species